rnacentral:rRNA from 1 species
GACGAACGCUGGCGGCGUGCUUAACACAUGCAAGUCGAACGGAAAGGCCCUGCUUUUGUGGGGUGCUCGAGUGGCGAACGGGUGAGUAACACGUGAGUAACCUGCCAUUGACUUUGGGAUAACUUCAGGAAACUGGGGCUAAUACCGGAUAGGAGCUCCUGCUUCAUGGUGGGGGUUGGAAAGUUUCGGCGGUUGGGGAUGGACUCGCGGCUUAUCAGCUUGUUGGUGGGGUAGUGGCUUACCAAGGCUUUGACGGGUAGCCGGCCUGAGAGGGUGACCGGCCACAUUGGGACUGAGAUACGGCCCAGACUCCUACGGGAGGCAGGAGUGGGGAAUAUUGCACAAUGGGAGGAAGCCUGAUGCAGUAACGCCGCGUGCGGGAUGACGGCCUUCGGGUUGUAAACCGCUUUCGCCUGUGACGAAGCGUGAGUGACGGUAAUGGGUAAAGAAGCACCGGCUAACUACGUG